CUGAAUUUGGUCAUUUUCAUCUGAUUUUUGUCCAUCCAGGCAAACGCUGGUGUUUAGUGAAUAACCCUGUUAGUUUGUUUUUCUAAUGUGAAGGAAAACAUCGUCUGUGGCUGAUCUGUAAACAGUUUUAAGGUUUUAUAGGCAUUUUGUGAUACAGUUAGCUUAUAAAUGUAAGAAGAAAAAAAGGCACACAAGUUGUUUGUAGCUAAAUAUUGACAAAUUGUCCUUACCACACACUGGCCGGGUUAAACAUUAAACUAAGAAUUGAUAGAAAUUAAGCAGGGAAUUGGAAAAAUAGCCAAGUCAGAAA